GUGCACAGUAUUUGAACCUGUGCACUGAUCUGUAGUGCCAUAGGCCAAGCAACUGUGCUACAGCAAAUCCUUGUGAUAACUGGAACUUCUCAGCAUUGAACACUGAGCUGUUUUUUUAAGGACAAGUGACAUAU